rnacentral:lncRNA from 11 species
GGGUUAAAAAGGGAGAUGGGAAAAUAGGACUUUUGCUGUUAGCCUCAGGCCUAUGGCAAUCUACAGCCUCCCUGGUCCAACUUUCUGGCUUGUUCUCCUCCUUCAGAAGCAAAAGAGAAGAUCUGUGGAUGAGGGGCACUUAAGGACUGACUGCUUGUCUGGGCAUUUGGGAUGAAAGAUGUCUGAAAUCAUGCCGGAGGAUGGCAAAAGCCCUGCAGGAAAGGAACUUCGCUUGCAGCCGGCACUAGUCAACGGAAGAUGCGAGAAUCCGAUCCCGCUUCUGGACAGACUUUCCAUUACCAGGGGCAUCUGGGACCUCUGCAGUGAAGACCCGGCACAGGCUGCAGAGCUGCUCUCAGUACAACUUCCUGGGACAUUUGUUGUGAUCAGAAACGAAGCCAAAGAUGCCAGAACUUUGUUCCUUCAAACCCAAGAAAGCCAGAGCGAUGCUAUCUGCCAUUUUCCCAUUAAGGAAGACAAUUCAGUGGAUGUCCACUGGGGUUUGAUUCCAGGACCUUCCCUUGGAUACCGAAAUCAAGUCACAAUAGUGAAGUAAAAUUGCAACCCUUAUAUAAAAUGGCAAAAAUAUGGUUUUUGGAUUUAUUUAUUUUUUACAAGGACAGGGAAUAUUUUCAAGCCACACAUAGUGGAAACUGUGGAUGCAGAGGUCUUAUUGUAUUGCUAAUGAGUGUGUUUUAGCAUCUGUGUAAUGGGGUGCUAAAGGUGUGUUCAUGUGGAUGUCAUUCAUAUUAAAAAACUUAUAUAAUUAUUUUAUUUUUAUACCCUGCCACCAUCUCCCCAAAGAGACUCGGGGUGGCUUACAUGUGGGAACAAGCCCAAAGCAUACAACAAUAUUUGUAUUCAUCGCCUGUUUUUAACAUUUUAUUUUGUAUGUUGGC